rnacentral:rRNA from 1 species
UACGAAGGGGGCUAGCGUUGCUCGGAAUCACUGGGCGUAAAGGGUGCGUAGGCGGGUCUUUAAGUCCGGGGUGAAAUCCUGGAGCUCAACUCCAGAACUGCCUUUGAUACUGAAGAUCUUGAGUUCGGGAGAGGUGAGUGGAACUGCGAGUGUAGAGGUGAAAUUCGUAGAUAUUCGCAAGAACACCAGUGGCGAAGGCGGCUCACUGGACCGGUACUGACGCUGAUGCGCGAAAGCGUGGGGAGCAAACGGG